rnacentral:rRNA from 1 species
AUUGAACGCUGGCGGCAGGCCUAACACAUGCAAGUCGAGCGGAUGAGAGGAGCUUGCUCCUCGAUUCAGCGGCGGACGGGUGAGUAAUGCCUAGGAAUCUGCCUAGUAGUGGGGGACAACGUUUCGAAAGGAACGCUAAUACCGCAUACGUCCUACGGGAGAAAGUGGGGAUCUUCGGACCUCACGCUAUUAGAUGAGCCUAGGUCGGAUUAGCUAGUUGGUAGGGUAACGGCCUACCAAGGCGACGAUCCGUAACUGGUCUGAGAGGAUGAGCAGUCACACUGGAACAGAGACACGGUCCAGACUCCUACGGGGGGCAGCAGUGGGGAAUAUUGGACAAGGGGCGAAAGCCUGAUCCAGCCAUGCCGCGUGUGUGAAGAAGGCCCUCGGGUCGUAAAGUACUUUAAGUUGGGAGGAAGGGCUUACAGCGAAUACCUGUGAGUUUUGACGUUACCGACAGAAUAAGCACCGGCUAACUUCGUGCCAGCAGCCGCCGUAA